rnacentral:rRNA from 1 species
AUGCAAGUCGAGCGCGCCUUCGGGCGAGCGGCGGACGGGUUAGUAACGCGUGGGAACGUGCCCAGAUCUACGGAAUAGCCACUGGAAACGGUGAGUAAUACCGUAUACGCCCUUCGGGGGAAAGAUUUAUCGGAUUUGGAUCGGCCCGCGUUAGAUUAGGUAGUUGGUGGGGUAACGGCCUACCAAGCCUACGAUCUAUAGCUGGUUUUAGAGGAUGAUCAGCAACACUGGGACUGAGACACGGCCCAGACUCCUACGGGAGGCAGCAGUGGGGAAUCUUGGACAAUGGGGGAAACCCUGAUCCAGCCAUGCCGCGUGAGUGAAGAAGGCCCUAGGGUCGUAAAACUCUUUCGCCUGUGAUGAUAAUGACAGUAGCAGGUAAAGAAACCCCGGCUAACUCCGUGCCAGCAGCCGCGGUAAUACGGAGGGGGUUAGCGUUGUUCGGAACUACUGGGCGUAAAGCGCACGUAGGCGGAUUAGAAAGUUAGAGGUGAAAUCCCGGGGCUCAACCCCGGAACUGCCUUUAAAACUACUAGUCUAGAGUUCGAGAGAGGUGAGUGGAAUUCCGAGUGUAGAGGUGAAAUUCGUAGAUAUUCGGAGGAACACCAGUGGCGAAGGCGGCUCACUGGCUCGAUACUGACGCUGAGGUGCGAAAGUGUGGGGAGCAAACAGGAUUAGAUACCCUGGUAGUCCACACCGUAAACGAUGAAUGCCAGUCGUCGGGUAGUAUACUAUUCGGUGACACACCUAACGGAUUAAGCAUUCCGCCUGGGGAGUACGGUCGCAGAUUAAACUCAAGGAAUUGACGGGGCCCGCACAAGCGUGGAGCAUG